GACGAACGCUGGCGCCGUGCUUAACACAUGCAAGUCGAGCGGUAAGGCCCUUUCGGGGGUACACGAGCGGCGAACGGGUGAGUAACACGUGGGUGACCUGCCCUCAGCUCUGGGAUAAGCCUGGGAAACCGGGUCUAAUACCGGAUAUGACUCCAUGACGCAUGUUGUGGGGUGGAAAGCCUUGUGCGGCUGAGGAUGGGCCCGCGGCCUAUCAGCUUGUUGGUGGGGUGAUGGCCUACCAAGGCGACGACGGUAGCCGCCUGAGAGGCGACCGCACACUGGGACUGAGACACGGCCCAGACUCCUACGGGAGGCAGCAGUGGGGAAUCUUG
rnacentral:rRNA from 1 species